rnacentral:lncRNA from 10 species
UAGAGAUGAUGUUUCCCUAUGUUGCCUAAGCUGGUUUCGAACUCCUGGGCUCAGCAUCCCCCAUGAAGUGGCGCUGAAAGAUCACGAUAGCACAGUUCCAUGAUGUGAAAUACCACAAGUCUGCAAUUUUUCGGUCUUGAGAGUGUCGCUGGGCUGAGAGGAUGGAAAUCUUUCAGUAAUUAUACCAGUUUGUAUUCGUCUCACAUUUGGGACCAAAUACAAAUCCGAUCCACUCUUUCUCCCUGUGAAUAUUCAUAAAAAACAAAGUGCCAAUUCUGGUCUAAUCAUGUAUGGAACCAAAUAUGUUGAUGAGUCCUAAGUAUAUACUGUAUGUAUGUAUACAUAUGAAUAUAUAUAUUUGUACACACUA